ACGACAUAGUGAUCUGUUUAGCCUGAGGAUGUUUAUGCUUUUGGUGCCUACAGCAGGACUGAAGCUUCAUCUCCUCGGGCAUCCAGCUAGACAAACAGUCACUGAUACAUGGGUGUGAGGAAUGAAGUGGACUGACUGCCUGUGCCUAUCCUUGUUCUGUCCCUCCCUUCUCUGCAGAGUUCAGGGGCUGUGUUCCAGCUGCACGUCCAGUAGCUGAGGCCGUACUUACGGGGAGAGUGAGGCACUUACAGUUGGGCAGCUGAAACGCUUCUCAGUUGUGAGCCCCCUGGGAGCUGACUUUCUUCAGAGACCUCUCCUCCUUGUCCUCGAGCCAGAUGACAGAGGAGUAAGAUUUCUCAUCAUGUUCCAGCUCUCCCAGCCCUGGGAGAGAAGCAGAGAGAGAUGGUAAAAUGGAGCCAAGUAUCCCAGCAUGGUUCAGUCCCAGCAGAAAGGGAAGUUUGUUGUUCUUUUUGUCAUUUUUGCUUUUUUUUCUUCUUCAGACUGGGGGUAAACAGUGUUUUCAUUUUUUUUUCUUUGUGAUCAUCCCCAUUGCUUAUGUCUGAAAUAUAAUUCUGAGAGCACCGCUGUUGUGACAAGAGGGCAAAAAUAAGCAAAUUGUAUUUGCGGAUAAGAGGCAGCAAUAAAUCCCUGAAUUUCCAAAUGCAUAGAGGAGCAUUGACUUCUAAAUACCAGAAAUUCUAAGCCCUUACCUUGCUAAUUCAUGUGGCAUCUGGAGGGGCUGUGGAUUUUUAUUUCAUCCUGGUAUUUGUGGUAUUUCCUGCCAUUAGUAUAGGAAAAAACCUUGUGUGGUAAAUGCUGGCUUUUUCCUCCGUUGGUGGCAAACAUUGGAACUUGGGUUCAUGAAAGGCAAACCAGCAUUUUCAGUUCUGAAGGAUCUCAGAGGUGCCCGGGAAGGAAAAUCUCAUUGGGGUUGAAUGAGGAUUUUGGUUCUGUGGUUGGAUGCCAGCAGAACAGCUCUGAACAGACUCAAAUCUUGUCUUCAGAUCCGGGAGUUCGGCUUAAAAUACCUUGUGUGGUUUCAAAAGCUGUAGCUUGGAAAUAGAGGUUGAGAUAAAAUUAAUAUCCAUAUUUAAAAGUAAUCUGGUUGUAAAGGCUUCAGGUACGAGUGUUGGCCCAGAGUCAGUGCCCCAGCCUUCAAAAAUUGCUGGGUUUAUUGCAGAUUGAACUGUAGAUUGGGCUGCUUAGAUUUGUAAUGGAAAAAUAUCAGCCAACAUACUUUCCUCCCCUCCACCCUCCAUCAUCGGGGCAUAUAUCAAAUUGCACUAUCUGGCAGGGAGUUCCUAAUGUUAUUUGAGAAGAGAGAGGAAUGCAAGCGAUGUCAGCAGAAAACAGCUGAGUAGCAGUUAAAUUUCUUUGGCCUGAACUUGCUCCAUAGGGAAAGAGAAACGCAACAAAUGGACUUGGUUUGUGCUGGGGUGAAACAAAACAUCCUUUGCAAACAGGCAGUGUUUGUGAGAAACUCCUCUACAGAAGUUGGGGAUAUGGGGAUGCUGUUAGAGAGACAAGCUCUGCUCUGCUGUGGAUGUGUCAGGUCUUACCUGGUUGAGGUCAACAGGGCCAACAGUGCCUAUGAUCUCUCAGUGACAGCCCCGGAGCUUGCAGGGUGCUGGCUGUUCCCAUUCCUUUGCGUGGCUGGAACCAGUUAUGUUAUGCUUCGGGUUGCAUCUCCAUGGCUUAUUGAACUUUCUAUCUGUGCUUCCUUUAAAGAUAAAAGCCUCAAGAGUUGGCUCAAGUGAGCUUGCCCAGUGCUGCAAAAGAGCAGUGGAGGUGCAUGCAAGGAUACUGUUAACUGAGAAGUUGGGCCGAGUUAAAUGGUACCCUUAAUCCCCUUGAUGUCUGGCAGAGUCAAGUUAAAAGGUCUUCCCCACUUGGGGUGAAGGCUUUGCAUGUGUAGAUGCUGGUUCACUUAAGGGCAUUGCUGCCUCUGUGGUGAAAGAACCUUCUUCUCUGCUGGCGUUUGCUUCGUUGCUGAAGGAAGGAGAAACUUCUGCAGUGUCUUGUGUCAAGUGGGGGCCUGGGCUGAAGUUUUGUUCCAUGGAGGCUUUCAACAAACAGCAAGAGACAUGGCAGAGGGCUAGAAACAGGCCAAACAGAUGAAAAUUAAAGUAAAUAUAGCCCUUGUUUUUCUUCUACAAUUACUUUUGUCUUCCUAUUCCAACUGGAUUUGCCAUGGUAUUUCCAUAGCAGAGAUCCACGUUUUUCUCCUUCACAGCUGUUGCAGGCAACAGGAGGCUGUGUUUCCCUAACACGGUUUCUUUUGGUAUUUGGGGUCUUCUUGGGGGGCCUUUCUUUCUUGACUGAUUUAGGGUUUUUUCCCUUGCUGAGUUCUUCAGUUAGUACUGUUUGUUGCCUCUGUACCAUCCUGGUGGGACAGCUUGGUCUCCUCCAGGAAGAAAACUCAGCUGUGGAAGGGAACAGAAAUUGGCUUCUAUGCUACCCUCUCCUGUUUUGUUGGAGGUCUGGGGAGAGAAGUGUAUGUGUGUACAUAAAACUACAUGCUUCAAAAAAAAUUGAGGUGUUUUUUAAAAGAUAGGAGUAGCUUUUCAUUCACAAUUGCACGCGUGACGUUGAUGUAUUGGAACAGGAUAUUCAAGAUCCUAAACAGAAUCCUACUUAGUGCUCUGCAUCUUUUGUCUCUGCAUUUCCUCUCUUCAACUCAGUUGUUGGUUCGGGAGUUACAUUUCCUGGUACAACCUUUUAAAGCACAUGUAUUUUAUUUGCAUGUAAAUUGGCAGAGGGAGGCAUCUUCCAUGUAAAUGCUGUGCUAAUCAUUACAGGUUCCAUGGUUCAUCAGGGCUUGGGUUCCUAAUUGGCUGCAGGAUUCCCAAAAGUGUCAAUAGUCUGAUUCAGAGCAAUAGGAAUUAUUGAAUCUACAUAAUAAAAGGAGUGUGAUGAAAGAUGCGGUAAGAAACUUACCUUCCAGGCCUGAAGAGAGGACAGGCUAUUCUGGGAUGGAGCCUCUUCCCAUUGCUUGGCUGCAUGAGGCUGUUAAAAGAAAAGAGAAAUUCAAAGGAGAUUUAGCAUCUUUUCUGCUAUUUCCUGUUGAACAUCAGCAGAGCGCGUUGACACCGGCAGAAGUAAUCUGACCUACGGGAACAUGCCUUGUGAGGCAGCGCCAGUGAGAGUUUGACCUCAGGCAUCCCGAUAGCGUGGUGUGUGUGCUGUGGCCGUGCUGGCUGACACCAUUUGUCCCCUGAGAGAUACAAGCCUGCAGCAGAUGUGAGGCUCAAUGUGUCAGCUCAACCUCAGGGGCAAGAAAAAGAGAAGUUGAAACUGGUUUCUUCCAUCUGAGAUGGCCACAGGCGAAGAGCAAACACACUUGGUCAAUUACCGUGGCUCAGAUGAUGCAUGGUAUUGCCAUUUUCAGGUCAAAUUUUAGAGUUAGUAGGAACUUUUCCAUGGGCUUUGUACAACAAUAUUCCACUGCGCACAGUGAGAAGUUUGAACACCCUUCGUUUCAGCGUCUAAUUUUGAGAUGAACUUGUAUCUUUCUUAAAAAAACAAAACAACAAGACCACCAAUAGCAAAAGAAAACCACCGGCCCCAAACUUUCACCUUUCUUCUCAGUAACUGAAACUCGAGUUCAUCUUUCUCUGCUUCCACGUAAUACAAGGAAAGACAUUUGAUUAGAUUAUGUGAGAUACUUUUUAAGGCAGAUGGAUUCAACACAUGGCUGCAGGACCAGGCUUUAUUAUCUCGACUAACGUGGACACAUUUUGAACACUGCUUCUCACUCUGCCAUCAGCCGCCACCACCUCUGCAGUACUGUGACAGCAAGAGAAAAAGGACAGGGAAGUGAUAAAGUUUGCACACGUAAGCAGAAAAGAACUUUCUGUCCAAAGCCAGCUGGCUUGGCUUGGCACUGAAGUGGCAUUUUAGCACAAGAUGACACGUUUAUGCGUGUACUGGAGCUAUGUUUCAAAACACUUGCCCUAGAUGCCACAGGAAGGGUCUGUGAAAUAGUUUAUCACCAAGUAACCAUAGAGAGCAGGUGAGCUGUCUGAAUACCAGUUUGUCUUCUGAGCUGGCAGACAAAUGAAACCACAGGAAGGAAUCAAAGCAAUGCUGCUGCUUUUAAUAAUUAGAAUUGAGCGUAUUUUCAGGGAAGUUUUGGGAAAGCAUGCGAUAAUCCUAUAUCACAGCCAAGAGGACAAUACGUCCAUUAAUAAAUGCCUGAUACCGUUUGCUCUGAUACAAAACUCAGAAAUGCACACCAGCCAAUCCAUGUUAACACAGGUCAUUUCUUUAAGUCUUGUUUUCCAAAUUAGAGCAAACCCCCCAGCAUAAGAUGAAUGGGCAUCUUUGCCUUUACCUGAUAAAGUGCCUGAACGAUUAGGGAGGCUGAUGGCUUCUACAGAUCCUGUGGGACACAGAUCAGUCAUCCCACGUGUAACCCCAAAGAAAUAACUGAAAAUAAAUCACAGCAACAUUUGUACUUUGGAGUCUGGAUACCAUCAUAAAAUGCCAAAAAUGCACCUUGUAUACUGCCCAAGUUUAAAGAUUAAACUUUAUUUCAGAAGUUAACUGCUAUAAAAGUUUCUUUGCUAUAUGUUGCACAUUAUAACAGAUCACGCAGACCUUCUGUGGGCUCUGUGUGUGAAGUUUACAAGACCAGGACAGUAGCAUAUGUCUCGUGUGCAAUUUGAUCAAUAGAGUUACAGCAAAACAGAUCAAGUCUAGGAAAAAUAAUGCUUAGAUUUACAUGUUAAGAGCAGCACUUGCUGUCUGCAGUGGGAGCCAAGGAUGCUCUGAGCAAGACACAAUUACCUGCCUUUCAAGAGUUCCACAAGUCAUUUGUCACGAGGUCCCACCAACUUCACAUCUACUUUAAAAAGCAGUUUGAAGACUUUUUAGGUAUUAUGGUCUCCUAUAUCUAUUUCUGUCUCUUUUGUUUCCUAACAGCAUGAGAUACUGACCACACAUACUGCAGUCAAAUAUAGAAAUUAAACCUACAGGAAAAAGGAUGUCUUCUCUUUAAUCUCUUGGAGAAUUUUCCAGACUAAAGCAUAGUUCUUAAAUUGAUAAUAUCCCUUUAAGAAUUUAUUUGCCAGGUAAUGUUAGAAGAAAAAAGAGAUUAGGGCUAGUUUGAACAUUAGAAAGGCCCUUUUUAAAAUCAAUUUCAAGUCUGUAUUAGAGAUGAGCGUUGUCUGAACAUGCUUCCAACAGAUAAAAUAUAUUCUGCACCUUAGGAACGCAAAUAACUUGAAAAUCCUUGAGACUCCCAGCUCUUUGCAAAAAGGUCAAACUCUAUCCUAAGAAAUAUUUCAUUGCAUAGAAAUAAUGGUUUAGUGUUGCCGUAUAUGAAAGUCAGAAUCUGUAAGGCUACGAAGUUAAUAACAGAUCAAGGGCUGAAGUUUUUGAAUAAUGUAGUAAAUAUUUCUUAAAUGAGUGAAAUGAUACGAUACCACGGGAAGAGAGAAAUGCGUUUUAAUAAAGAAAAUAUUGAAUGUAAGAAUAUUUCUUUAGAUCUACCAUGCAAUCUGUGUGUUCUCUAUGAGAUGUCAAACUACACGGUGCAUAUGUACACUGCGCUCUCUAUAAAUAUACAUGUGCAUGACAUAUUUCUGAAGGCAGUAAAUGAAUGCUGGGGAAAUACGGCAACAAUGAAGUUCCUAAGAGAAGGUUAGUUUUUCAAGUUAUUAAAAGAAGGUGGCAAGCAUUCAUGAGGAUAUGAAAAUUUAAAGCUGUCUGCAGGAAACUCUGAAAACCUCUGGUUAAGGCUGCUGCCAAAAAAUCUCAGCUAUGUUAUGUCAGAAUAUUUAAUUGCAAGCUGCAAUUUUAAUGAAUGGAAAGAUAUGGCAAAAGGAGGAAGUUUUCUGCAGCAACACAGAACAGCCAUGAAAAUAAAAUGCCAAAGGUUGUAAUCUUGGACGCUGUAGGAAUCAGGAAUUUCCAUCCACGUUCUGACUCCUUUUCCUACUGUGAGAGUUUGCCAGCUGCCUGGCUGAAGGGAGGUAAGCUGUUCUGGAUAUCAUCUCCUGGGCUCAAGGCAGCACUUGUUAUGUCUAUGUGAAGAAGUCAACUUCUGUGCAUUUGUUGUUACGGAUGUUUACCGAAAUGCAGCUUAGGAAUAGGAGAGGAAAAGCAAAUGUCAGAGUGCAUUAAAUAACGUAUUUUCUUUACUUUCCAAGAAGCUUGCUAGCAGCAUGAUGUUACUAUUUAUAACAGAUCUCUUAAACCCAGCUGUUGGUUCAUGUUAACAUGGAGAAUGGUGAGAAAACCCCAGCAGAAGAGUGUGAAUCCCAGAGAGACUUGUCUUCUGUCAUUGUGAAGACCUAGAAAAUAUCCCAAGUUUUGCUGAGAAUAAAGACAAAAAAAGCUCUUUUCUGGAAUAUAAGAAAUAUUUGAAAAGGAAGAGUGGGGAGCAGCCACGGUACUUCACUCUGGAGUGCUUUGUGAGAAGGUCUGAGGAUAACACAUUGGAGGCUCAACGUGUUCCCAUCCAGCGGUGCGCUGAGCACGACUGGAGGUGGUGGUGUGUCACUUUCUGACCAUUUUGGGACCUGACUGUUUGUAGCCCAUCGGUGAGUCUCUGUUUUCCAGUGGCUGCAGCUCUAAUUCUCACGUCCCAGAGCAGAGCUGGGUGCUGCUGCCCCACAGAUACCGCUGCGGUGCUCAGCUCUGCGUUCUGCACUCUUUGCCACAUGCUGCCGGACAAGAGGCAGAGCACAACUAACUUCUUUGGCAAGUAACUUUUUAGUGGGAGAAUUUUAUUCUGGGGUGCUCAGCUGCUGCCUUCUGUUGUGGGGGAGAGAUGCCAGUUUUGUAGUGGCUUUGGUUAGCAGUUGCUCUUUACUCUUUAAAGCAAAAUUAAUGGCAAAUAUGCCACGCUGCGCAGGGCGAAGGUGAGAACGUUGGGCCUUCGUGGGUUCCUCAGCCGAAGCUGUCCUUGAGGCAGCUCUGCGGGCCGCAGCCCCUCUUCCUGGGGCUGGACGGGGGCCUACAGGCCGUGACGAGGCGG
ensembl:lncRNA